rnacentral:snRNA from 1 species
GUACUUGCUUCAGCAGUACAAAUACUAAAAUUGGAAUGAUCCAGCGAAGAUUAGCAUGGCCCCUGCACAAGGAUGACACACAAAUUCGUGAAGCGUUCCAUGUUUUU